rnacentral:lncRNA from 1 species
AGCAGCUUGAGAGGAGUGGGAGGGGCUGGGCCCACUCCUGGGUACCUUGCCUGGGGGCACUGGUCCCUGGCUCCUGGCUCCAGAAGUGGCUCCAAGGGUCUGGGUGGGAAGCAGGAGGCCAUUAGGACCCAGAAGCUCUCAGAGCAUCCUGCUCUGCCGGCUGCCUCUCACUGAUCACUGCAGUGGUUCAGGCUUCAGCAGCCUUGGAGAAGCAUCAGCUGAGAGGCGCUAUCACAUGGGAACCGGGAGCUGCUCAGGAAAGCCACUGUGGAGGGCACCUUCAGGCGAAGCAUGGCACGGUGGGCUGGAGUACUAGCCCUGGAGCCAGGCCUCCUGGGCGUGUAACUGGACCUGGCCACUUACUAGCUAUGUGACCUUCGAUGGCUUUAUGAGGAAACUGAAGCUGAGAAGAGCCACAGAGUUAGUAAUUCCCAGACCUGGGACUGGAAACCGGAUCUCGUGGUUAUUCUCCACAAUGACUCCUGCCAUUCUGAGGAGACAAGAAAUCAGGAAAUUUACAUAAGCAACCUUAAAACUGGGGCACGAUCCCAGAGCUCAGCGGGACCCUGAGAAAGGGAGACAGAGGAUUUAGACUCUGGACAACAGUCCUUGAAAGGGGAGAAGGGUGUGGAAAAGAGAGGAAAAGGAAGUGGAAAAGGAGCUGGAGACCACUCAGAAGAUGGAGUGUUGAGUUGGUGAGGCUCCUGCAUCGCUCCCUCUCUUGCUUCUUUGCAGUCACCAAGGUGGACCAGAGCUGCCUCCUGAGCCCUCAGUCCCUGGCCUUGAAGGCUGGCAACAGUGAGAGAGGCUCCAGCAGGAGGCGCUCUCUACCCAAGAUCUGCACACACAAAAUUGGGAAGCCUGGGCCUGGGCUCGCCAUCCCAGGGGCACUGGACUAGGAUGGGGGAUGGGCCUGUGACAGGAGGUGCCCUGGGUGUCCUCUUUCGGCCCCAUGGAGUCCUCACCCAUCCCCCAGUCAUCAGGGAACUCUUCCACUCUGGGGAGGGCCCCUCAAACCCCAGGUCCCUCUACUGCCAGCGGGGUCCCGGAGGCAGGGCUGCGGGACGUGGCUUCAGAAUCCGUGGCCCUCUUCUUCAUGCUUCUGCUGGACUUGACUGCUGUGGCUGGCAAUGCGGCUGUGAUGGCUGUUAUUGCCAAGACACCUGCCCUUCGAAAAUUUGUCUUUGUCUUCCACCUCUGCCUGGUGGACCUGCUGGCUGCCUUGACCCUCAUGCCCCUUGCCAUGCUCUCCAGCUCCGCGCUCUUUGACCAUGAUCUCUUCGGGGAGGUCGCCUGCCGCCUCUACUUGUUCCUGAGCAUAUGCUUCGUUAGCCUGGCCAUUCUCUCAGUGUCGGCCAUCAACGUGGAGCGCUACUAUUACGUGGUCCACCCCAUGCGUUAUGAGGUGCGAAUGACGCUGGGGCUGGUGGCCUCUGUUCUGGUGGGUGUGUGGGUGAAGGCCUUGGCCAUGGCUUCUGUGCCAGUGUUGGGAAGGGUCUCGCGGGAGGAGGGAGCUCCCGGCGUCCCCCUAGGCUGCUCACUCCAAUGGAGCCACAGUGCCUACUGCCAGCUUUUUGUGGUGGUCUUUGCUGUCCUUUACUUCCUGUUGCCCUUGCUCCUCAUCCUAGUGGUCUACUGCAGCAUGUUCCGAGUAGCCCGUGUGGCUGCCAUGCAGCACGGACCGCUGCCCACGUGGAUGGAGACCCCCCGGCAACGCUCUGAGUCUCUCAGCAGCCGCUCCACUAUGGUCACCAGCUCAGGGGCCCCCCAGACCACGCCACACCGGACGUUUGGGGGAGGGAAGGCAGCAGUGGUCCUCCUGGCUGUGGGGGGACAGUUCCUGCUCUGUUGGUUGCCCUACUUUUCUUUUCACCUCUACGUCGCCCUGAGUGCUCAGCCUGUUUCGACGGGGCAGGUGGAGAAUGUGGUGACCUGGAUUGGCUACUUCUGCUUCACUUCCAACCCUUUCUUCUAUGGAUGUCUUAAUCGGCAGAUCCGGGGGGAGCUCAGCAAGCAGUUUGUCUGCUUCUUCAAACAGGCUCCAGAGGAGGAGCUGAGGCUGCCAAGCCGGGAGGGCUCCAUUGAGGAGAACUUCCUGCAGUUUCUUCAGAGCACUGGCUGUCCCACGGAGUCCUGGGCUUCCCGACCUGUACCCAGCCCCAAGCAGGAGCCACCUGCAGUUGACUUUCGAAUCCCUGGCCAGAUAGCUGAGGAGACCUCUGAGUUCUUGGAACAACAACUCACCAGCGAUAUCAUUAUGUCAGACAGCUACCUCCGUCCCGCUCCCUCACCACGACUGGAGUCAUGAUGGGCUGGUGGACGCUUGGAGGGUGAUGGGGCUGGGGGCCAGUUGUAACUGCAAGGAACUCCUUGUGGGAUCACCUUUUCCUGGCUAGCUGGGGCUGGGGUCUCUGCACACAGCUUUUGCUUAAUGUUUUCUGGGUCAGCAACAGAGCCAACUGGAUGGAUAUGUGGCAAAAGCCUUGGACAUGGCCAUGAUCCUUGACUACUGGGGGAGGGGACCUGGUGAGAUGGUGACGAGAGUCAAGGGUCACUAAGAACUGGCCUCCCUGAUCUCUCUCCUCAUGGCAGUGACCCAUCGCCAGCCCCCUGGACAACCGGGUACAAGAGACUAAGGUUGGGAAUGGGAAAGGUGGGGUUUCCAUGGUUCAUUAAAUGCUUCCUUACUCCCAUUCAUCGCUCUCAAAAUUAGCUUCAGUGACAAAGACUUAAAUCUCUCUCCUAUCUGCAGCCCUGGGUUGAACAGGGGGCACAGGAACUGGGCUCAGCUGUUCACUGAUUGAGACUGUAGAAACUGUUAGGUGGUACUGAUGGCGGUAUAUUCAAGGGAGGGGGAAUAACUGCAAAACUGGACAGGACACCCAUCUGGGACUACCUGUUCAUCCAUUUCCCUCAUUUCAAUCAGGUAACAUUAAAGAGUCAAGGCAGGACCAGAUGGUGAUGUGAUCUGUAUUUGAACAAAUUCCUGGUUUAUUGAGCUUCAAGGGGAAGUUGGGUUGGUGGGAGUAGGAUAGCUUCCCCUUUGAACAGCUAAUAAAUAAUUUUUAUUACAAAAAGUUAUGCUGAUAUCAACAUUGACUCCUUCAGUUCAACCCAGUGCAUAAUAGCUGAAUACCCCACUCUCUGGGACUCACACAGAUUUAUAGUCACUGCCUUCAAGGAGUGCACAGUCUUAAUUUGAAUCAGGUACCUUGUUUUAUAUUUUGACAGAGCAUUCACAUAUAGUAAAGCAUUAUAGAAUUUUAGAGAAAUAUAUUGAAAAAUAUGUUCAUGGUUCUAACUUGAGACUUCAGCCCAUUGCAGCAAGAUGUCUACAUGGAGGCUUUCUGCAGACUGGAAAGUGUGGGGGUUGCAGAUGAAACUCUAGUUGAACAAAAUGAUUUAUUAAAUGAAAUAGGGCAGCUUUUUCCCUCCAGAUCUAGGAAAUUUUCCAGGUUUCUGUCUUCCUACUGCUAGACUUAUGCGCAAGGCCUAUUGCACUGAGGAGUUCCUUCAGAUAAUUUAUACGUCGAAGAGAGUCUUUUGCGAUUGAAGGCAUGUUCUCCACCACCCUCUCCUCCCUUUUAAGAUAAAUUCAUGAGGAAUCGCAUUUUAGAAAUAGGGGAAAACAUCCAAACAUCACUGAUUAACUAGCAGACUGAGCGUUGCCAGCAGGUGGCAGUGUGAGUCUAGUGGAAAUAGGAAAGAAGCCUGUAGGUGGGGAGGGGGAGCAUUGCCUGGCAGCCAUUUUGUUAAUUUAUUUUGCCUUUUCCUUUGACUUUGCCCUCCAACCCCUACUUCAUACUUCAAAGGAGAAAGUCUUGAGUGGAAGGAUAUUGCUAAUUUAGGCUGAAAUUUCUUGACACUGUGACCUCACUGGCGUUUAUUACAGAAUUGGACAUAUGCUGGUUUAUUUGCAUUUAUUUUUCCUUGAGUUGAUCAUGAAGGAAAUAAAAUUUUCUCUUCUAUUCUGCUGAGAACUUUCCCAACAAUUUCUGUCAUGACCACCUUCCAGGAGUAUUCUAAUCACCAGGAUCACUUGGUAAAGUUCCAUAUGUAAUUCUUAAGCUUGUGAAAGCAGUUCCUAGGCAAAAUUUGACUUAUAAAUCCACUGAAGAAAUCAACAGGUUGAGAAAAUUGUGCUCUCAAGUUAUUUUUUCCCUCACCCCAGUGUUGUUGGAGUAACUCUCAAUCCUAAAUGAAAAGCUGUUGUCAAGACUCCCAGGUAACAUCUUAUAAUGGCAUGGUAGAAAAGGAGUGAAUUUGGAAUCAGAUCUACUUAUUCACUGUGUGAACUUGGAAAGAUGCUUAAUUUCUCUGAGCCUAUUUGUUUACCUGUAAAAAUGUGGAUAACAACCCACAAUUACAGGGUUGUUGUGAGGAAUAAACGAGAUGACACAUCGAAGUACCUAGUCACACCUGGCAAAUAGGUACUCAAUAAAUAUCGUUUUUUCUUCCC